UACGUAGGGUGCAAGCGUUAAUCGGAAUUACUGGGCGUAAAGCGUGCGCAGGCGGCUAUGUAAGACAGAUGUGAAAUCCCCGGGCUCAACCUGGGAACUGCAUUUGUGACUGCAUAGCUAGAGUACGGUAGAGGGGGAUGGAAUUCCGCGUGUAGCAGUGAAAUGCGUAGAUAUGCGGAGGAACACCGAUGGCGAAGGCAAUCCCCUGGACCUGUACUGACGCUCAUGCACGAAAGCGUGGGGAGCAAGCAGG
rnacentral:rRNA from 1 species